rnacentral:rRNA from 1 species
AGUGAACGCUGGCGGUAGGCCUAACACAUGCAAGUCGAACGGCAGCACAGUAAGAGCUUGCUCUUACGGGUGGCGAGUGGCGGACGGGUGAGGAAUACAUCGGAAUCUACUUUUUCGUGGGGGAUAACGUAGGGAAACUUACGCUAAUACCGCAUACGACCUACGGGUGAGAGCAGGGGAUCUUCGGACCUUGCGCGAUUGAAUGAGCCGAUGUCGGAUUAGCUAGUUGGCGGGGUAAAGGCCCACCAAGGCGACGAUCCGUAGCUGGUCUGAGCGGAUGGUCAGCCACACUGGAACUGAGACACGGUCCAGACUCCUACGGGAGGCAGCGGUGGGAAAUAUUGGACAAUGGGCGCAAGCCUGAUCCAGCCAUACCGCGUGGGUGAAGAAGGCCUUCGGGUGGUAAAGCCCUUUUGUUGGGAAAGAAAAGCAGCAGGUUAAGACCCCGCUGUUCUGACGGUACCCAAAGAAUAAGCACCGGCUAACUUCGU